rnacentral:lncRNA from 1 species
UAUAUUUAAGAGAUCCUGAUAGUUUGAGAUUUUCUGAAUGUGUUUUCUGAUGAACUUCCCAGAGCACCAGUAGACAAGGAAGUUGAGUUCACCAUAAACCUUCAGUCUGGCACACAACCUAUCUCAGUUUUCUCUUACCACAUAAGUCGUGUUGAGAUGGAGGAGCUGAAGAAACAUAUCAAUGAAUUAUAAGAUAGUGAAUUCAUC